CCUUACAGAUGAACAAAGAAAGUAGUUUCCUUAGAUAGAAUCUACUCCUGGUGAAGAUGCUGUGAA
rnacentral:pre_miRNA from 1 species